UACGUAGGGGGCAAGCGUUGUCCGGAAUCAUUGGGCGUAAAGCGCGCGUAGGCGGCUAGAUCAGUCUGCUGUAAAAGUCAAAGGCUCAACCUUUGAAAGCCGGUGGAUACUGUCUAGCUAGAGUCCGGAAGAGGCGAGUGGAAUUCCUGGUGUAGCGGUGGAAUGCGCAGAUAUCAGGAAGAACACCCGUGGCGAAGGCGGCUCUCUGGGACGGUACUGACGCUGAGACGCGAAAGCGUGGGGAGCGAACAGG
rnacentral:rRNA from 1 species